CAAACGAUUGCAAAUACAUCCUGAGUAUAUUUACCUCACUUGAGGUGCUACUUUUGUGGUAAUCAUUAAUAUCUUGUUGUCUCCUAAAAAUUUAUGCCAGCUAUAUAUACACCCCUGCUAGCAGCCUAGCAUACUGUUGCUAGAUCAUUAUCAUUUUAGUUAUACUUUUGUGGAGAGAAUUAUGGGUCCUGAGUUUUAUCUUCCUCAGCUUUCCAUUAAAGGUGGCCCAAAAACUGGAGUUUACAUUGAGUACUUAAACCUGAACAUGAAAAUUGUAAAAGUUCAAAAUGCUACUUAGAAGCGGUCUGCAAAGGCUGUGGGGAACUCUGUAAGUCAACCUGAGAUCAUUUACUCCUAAUUCUUGGAUCUUGAUAAGUUAUACAAUAUGCAUUCAAUGUACUGAGCUAUUGCACUAUGUAGACUGUACGUGCUGCUAUUUUGGCAAAUGGAGGUACCUUAGUCUGUCAAGCUUUUGGAAGAGUCGAAGUGGAUAUCCCAGUGGCUAUGAUACUGAAUACUCAAAAUGAUCAUCUUUGCUUUGGUUGUAGCAUACUUAAAAUGAUCAUCUUUGCUUUGGUUGUAGCAUGCCAAUCGAUCCUUCUCUGCCUAAGGUGUACUUGAUCCCUGUUUGCUAUAUGCUUAUCUGCACAUGUUUGCCAUUUUUUUUAACUUGACAAUGCUUUGGGGAUAUCUAUUUUCCUUCUAUGAAACUUGCCAAAGUAACAGUUGGAUGAUAGCAGAUGAGAAGGUCAGCAUUCAUAAUACUCCACUACUUUACUUACAUAUAAAGUUAAUAUGUACUAAAAAGGUUAGGUUGUGAUAUUCCAAACAGCUAGAUAUUGGUAGUACAGAUUACAGACUUGGCCAAGGGCUAUAUUUAGAAGGAAAAAAAAUAUCUGUGGUUUUCCAAUGGCAGUAGCAAUUCUUUUAUCAAUAACAUGAUUGGAAGGUAUGGCAUGGAGCACAAAUAUUGAAUUUCCAGUGAAUUGCUUUUGUGUAGAGCACAAUUGACUCUUGACUGCCCUUACUUUUUACUGAAGUAGCGCUUUUAGCUGGUGCCCUAUCUUUAGUUUAGUUCAGGUGUGCUCUCAUAGACUUUAGCUAGAGAUCAUUGAAGAAGCUUCCCUACCUCCAUCACUUCCUCUUUGUUCAAACACAUAAUGAAAUGUCAUUUAGUAAACCUGAUAGUAAUAAGUGCCUCCUAAUAUGUUAUUUCAUUCUUGUGACAGGUCUGCUGGGAAAACAAAAGUUUCGAUUCAGUUACUUGUGGCUUCUUGCUACCUAGCACAACUUAUAACUUUAUUAGGAAGUAUUGAUGUUGUGAAAUAGUAA
rnacentral:lncRNA from 1 species